GAUGAACGCUAGCUACAGGCUUAACACAUGCAAGUCGAGGGGUAACGAGAGGAAAGCUUGCUUUCCUUGUCGACGACCGGCGCACGGGUGAGUAACGCGUAUCCAACCUGCCCCCAACUAGGGAAUAACCUUGCGAAAGUAAGACUAAUACCCUAUAAUUUCCUCAGAUGUCAUCUGACGAGGAAUAAAGAUUUAUCGGUUGCGGAUGGGGAUGCGUCUGAUUAGCUUGUUGGCGGGGUAACGGCCCACCAAGGCAACGAUCAGUAGGGGUUCUGAGAGGAAGGUCCCCCACAGUGGAACUGAGACACGGUUCAAACUCCUACGGGAGGCAGCAGUGAGGAAUAUUGGUCAAUGGGCGGAAGCCUGAACCAGCCAAGUAGCGUGCAGGAUGACGGCCCUAUGGGUUGUGAACUGCUUUUAUACAGGAAUAAAGUUAGCCACGUGUGGUUAUUUGUAGGUACUGUAUGAAUAAGGACCGGCUAAUUCCGUGCCAGCCGCCGCCGUAA
rnacentral:rRNA from 1 species